rnacentral:rRNA from 1 species
GACGAACGCUGGCGGCGCGCUUAACACAUGCAAGUCGAACGAGGAAGCCCAGCUUGCUGGGUGGAAGAGUGGCGAACGGGUGAGUAACACGUGAGUAACCUGCCCUGAACUCUGGGAUAAGCACUGGAAACGGUGUCUAAUACUGGAUACGACCUAUCACCGCAUGGUGUGUGGGUGGAAAGAUUUAUCGGUUCUGGAUGGACUCGCGGCCUAUCAGCUAGAUGGUGAGGUAAUGGCUCACCAUGGCGACGACGGGUAGCCGGCCUGAGAGGGUGACCGGCCACACUGGGACUGAGAUACGGCCCAGACUCCUACGGGAGGCAGCAGUGGGGAAUAUUGCACAAUGGGCGCAAGCCUGAUGCAGCAACGCCGCGUGAGGGAUGACGGCCUUCGGGUUGUAAACCUCUUUUAGUAGGGAAGAAGCGAAAGUGACGGUACCUGCAGAAAAAGCACCGGCUAACUACGUG